rnacentral:rRNA from 1 species
AACGAACGCUGGCGGCAGGCUUAACACAUGCAAGUCGAACGCAUCCUUCGGGAUGAGUGGCAGACGGGUGAGUAACGCGUGGGAACGUGCCCUUCAGUUCGGAAUAACCCAGGGAAACUUGGGCUAAUACCGGAUACGUGCGAGAGCAGAAAGAUUGAUCGCUGAAGGAGCGGCCCGCGUCUGAUUAGCUAGUUGGUGAGGUAACGGCUCACCAAGGCGACGANCAGUAGCUGGUCUGAGAGGAUGAUCAGCCACACUGGGACUGAGACACGGCCCAGACUCCUACGGGAGGCAGCAGUGGGGAAUAUUGGACAAUGGGCGCAAGCCUGAUCCAGCCAUGCCGCGUGAGUGAUGAAGGCCUUAGGGUUGUAAAGCUCUUUCGCACGCGACGAUAAUGACGGUAGCGUGAGAAGAACGCCCCGGCUAACUUCGUGCCAGCAGCCGCGGUAAC